rnacentral:lncRNA from 1 species
UUUGUUGCUUUUAGGAGCAUACUUUUAGUGUUCUAUUAAUAACUUUUCUUUUGGCUCUCGUUUCUGUGUCUGAAGGACAUAAGGUGGAUCAUAUGGACCAAAUAAAGGGUCAAAAUCAUAGGGGUAAAGAAAGCAACUUAAUAAAGAUCAAGAAAGUUAGCUCAGAAGGUACUAAUUUCCCUGCCAAAGUUGGUGGAAAUUUUGCCGAUGGAUCUGGACCUUAUCCUCCACUCAAGACUUUUGGUAUAAUAGGAAAAAGAAGCAAUGACGGUAGUGUUAUUACAAGGGCUGGAGCUGAUGUUCCUGCUACAAGGGACAACAAAAUGGCUUCUGCAAAACAUGCUGAAGCUGGGCCCGCUUCUUGUGAUGACCUGAAUGACGAGAAAAAUAGCACACCUUCAGUAUCAAAUUCAACGAGAAAGGAUCCAAAACCUCUGCUAAAGCUCAAGUUCAAGAAUCCUUACCAUGAAAAUCAAAAUGCCUGGGCUUCUCCGGGAGAGGAGGAUAAAAGCAUGGUUAAGGGCCAGAGGUCUAAGAGAAAGAGAGCACCAGCCUUUGGAGAAAAAGCAUCAACCAGGUCUGAUGAUAAUUCAUCACAGCGGUAUGAAGACAAUACAAUGGAUGAGUUCUUGGAUGCUAACUGGAUACUGCAGAAGUUGGGAAAAGAUGCAAAAGGAAAGAGAGUGGAAGUUCAUCAUUCGUCUGAUAAUACCUGGUAAGCUUAUUGUCACAUCAAGCUGACUACUAUGCAUACUUAAAAUUUAUGCAACUUUAAUGGAGAUGAGUGCUGUGAUAUUCUGGAUUAGUAAUCAUGAUAGCGAUGAGAAAAGGGCAAUUAAUAGAGCAAGUGGAUUGCAUUGGAAUACAAGGAUAUAGUAGGAUAAAAAAAAGGAACACAUUAUCUAUAGUUACAAUUUUCAUUUGGGAUUUUAUCUAUCAAAUAGAUGAGUAUUCAUAUAAAUAAGUACACCAUACUUUCUUUGAUGUGUGCUAGUUUGACCUUUCAAUUCAUUUUCUUUCAGGCAUAGAGGGACAGUCGUAGAAGUCUUUGAAGGGUCAUCGGUUGUGUCUGUUGCUCUUGAUGAUGGGAAGAAGAAGAACUUGGAACUUGGAAAGCAAGGAAUACGUUUUGUAUCUCAGAAGCAAAAACGUUGACUGCUAUUUUGGUUAUUAGCUGCAGCGUAUGUUGCAACUUUGAAUGCCAAGAGCAUGAGCAACUGCUGAUUCCCAGAGUUGUUCUUCUUUGGUGGGCUCAAAGGAAGUACUGAUCGUUGCAGGUCAAAAUUUCAAGUUACUGCACAUUGCAACGUGUGUUUGCUGCAAGUUUGCUAUCAUUUUUACCAGACUUAUAUAUAAGGCGUUGGUUGGUUCUGUUUUAUUGUUUCCUUUCGUUUCCCGGUGUACAAAUUCUCUUUUCUGGCCAGAGGUUGAACACUGUUUUUGAGCCAUUUUGUGGUACUUUAGAUUAAUCUUGCUGCGACUUCUGAUACCAAGAGCAUGAACAACUGCUGAUUCCUAGAGUUGUUCUUCUUUGGUGGACUCUUAAGGAAGUAACUGAUCAUUGCAGGUCGAAUUUCAAGAUUACUGCUCCUGCAUCAUGUGUUAGCUAACCUUUGCUUACCAGAUUUACAUGUAAGGUCGUUGGUUGGUUCUGUUUUAUUGUUACCUUUUGUUUCCCAGUGUACAGAUUCUCUUUCUGGUCAGAGGUAGAACACAGUUUUUGAGCCUUUUGGUGUUACUUUAGAUUAAUCUUGCUGGAUUUGCAGUUUUAAUGUAAAAUUUCUAGAGAUUAGAAAGCUCUGCUCCUACUGGUUGUAACUCAGGGUAGAUGAGAUUUUUAUACUUGUUGAAACACACGAUUUGUGAUCAAAUCACUUUGUAUCAUUGUAUCGGUAUAUUAGUGUGUUAUUCGAUCCUAAAUUCAAACUAGAAAUAUUUCAGAUACAAUCUUUAUACAACUUAAAUAAUCAUUAUAUAAGUGGACAAAAAUAUUGUUGACAUCAAACUGAUAAAUAAUUUUUUGUGGGUUAUAUACUUAUAUUUUCGUAUAAUAAUUUCACGUAAAUUAUGUUGAGGCCAUUUUUUUUUAAUUGUUAAUAGUGAAUGAUAAUAUUUAAGUAGUCGAUUAUCAUAAUUAGAGCUCUUCCUUCGUCUAUAAUAAUAAUCACUAUUAGGGCCAUAAUCUCAAUUGGGAACACAAGUCUUUUCACGGUUAGCUUGGUGAAAGUUAGUCUAAUUCACUCGAGGAAAAUGACUAAAACAAGUAGGUAUAUUUUCAUGAUUUUUCAUUUAUAAUCCCAUUGUUUUAUUCAGCUACAAGAAAAUGUGAAACUAAUUAAAAAUAUUUUCAAAAUCACAUCUCUUGAUAUUGAAGCACAUUCAAAACAUGCAAUGUAAGAGUGAUUUUUCUACAUAGUCACUCACGUUUAGCAAAUUUUCUAGUAUAUUACUUUUGUUCCUUUUAGGACUAUAAUAUCACCAUGUUAUUUCUAUUUUCCUCAAAAUAUAUUGACAGAUAAAAAUAUCCUUCUCUCGCUUAAUGAGAUGACAUGUUACACUAUUCUUUUUUUCUAGAUAAUAUUUUUUUUAGAUCUUUUAAACUACCCACAUUUUAUACCCGAUAAAAGAUUAUUAUAGAGUAGUAAAACUUUUUUACUCUAGCUCCCUAGGAUUUUGAGGCAAAAUCCAAUCUGAACUCCUCUAAUUCUUGAAUAGUUAUAAUUCAUUUAUCUCGUUUCAUUUUCCGAGAGUUAAACUAUUUGAAUGAUAUUUUAAGAUAUAUUAUUUUAUCAUAUUAAUAUUAGAACAAUUACAAUUUAUAAUAUUACUAAAUAAAUUUUCAAAUGUGAGUGACUAUUCACUUAAUUUAUUCCAAAAUAUGAUGAAGGUUUUUUCCAAGAUAUCAUUAAUGAUAUUCUUAUCACAAAUAUCAAUUGUGAAACAAUGAAAAAUUAUACUCAUAAAUAGAUUUCAAAUUUAUUGCCUUAAAUUGAUCCAAUCAAAAUAUGCUUGUGUAAGAAUGACCAUCUUGAGAUGAUCUUAUCUUUCUUUCGGAUGAUUCAAUGACAAAAAAUAUUUUUAAGCCCCAUAAAAUAAUGACAGAAAAAUAUUUAUCUUUAUUUGGAUCUCGAUUUAAUGUUUGUUAUUAUCUUUAAAGAUGUCUACCAUAUCUAUCACGUCAGAUGUAUUUCAACAUAAAAAAAUCAAGAUUGAAUAUUUUUUGCCUCAUAUAUUCAUGCUUAGAAAUUUAUUAAAUUAAAAUUAAGAAAACGAAAGAAGCAAAAAGGUAUAUAAAUGUAGAGAGACUAUUUUAUUCGUUUUGCCUUCUCCAACGGCCACUGGAUUCACCUCAGAAGUAGCUACAGCAUCAUCUCUCUGCUUCCAUGUAAAACCCUAAACCCUAUUUUCCUCGUACAUAUUUUUUCAUAUUCUUCAUUCUUCUUAGUUAUUGGUAUUAAUUUUGUGCUUUUCCCUUUUUUUUUUUUUUCUUUUAGUUUUUGUUGUUUCGUUCUCGAGUUCCUAAUUUCUGUUUGUUCUAGUCUUUUUUUUUUUUACAUCGAGAACCUCAUAAUUAAGAUAUUUUCCUGUUCUCACUUUUUUUGGGGGUGAAGUAUUCAGUGUAGUAAUGGGGUGUUUCUGAGAUUUUUGAUAUCUGGAAUAUGAUUAAGAUACUAAGCAAUGGAAAAAAUAGGAGAAGUUGUUUAGGUGCUAUUUUAUUUUGAUGGAAGCUGGAAAAGGUAGAUUAUAGGGAGAAAACAUAGGAAGAUUGAAUUUUUAUGAGUUAUUUUUUCUAGCAAUACGUAAUCCAAUCCAUCUCUUUUGACAUUAUCUGAAUGAGCAUGUAUUGUAGAACUUUUAACUUUGACUCGUCUAAUAUAUGAGUGGCAGAUAAAAAUACCCAAGUGAUUGUUAAGAAAUUAGUUUGAGAGAAAACCAAUGUAUCCAAGUUUAAUUUAUCAGGGAUGUAAAAUUUUGAAACUUGUGAUAAUUGUAUAGAAUAAUGACCUAUCUGCCCUAAAUUGUGUGAUACUCCUACUUUGGAUGUUCUAAAAAGUUACACUAUUCCAGUUUUGGCAUUAUUCUUCUAUAAGUUUCACAAAUUUCAAGAAUCUAAUUCCUUUUAAUAUUCAAAUUUUAAAUUUGGAUUUGAUUUUUCUAUCUCAGACUCUCUAAAAAAACCUUGAUUUUUGCCCAAUUAUUGCAAAUAUUAUGUACAUGUCAAAUUUAACUUAUUUAACUCUGAGAAAUUAGAAUAAGAAGAAGAAGAAGAAGAAGAAUAAGAAAAAGAGGAGGAGGAGGAGGAGGAGGAGAUAUUGGGAAUUGAAUUCGUUGAUUAUUUUCUCAUGUUGAUGGAAUUGAAUAGUUGUUACGAAUAAUGUAAAUAAGGAAAGAAACUAAUAAAAUAUUACAUAAUCUGUUUAACUGCCUAAUUGAAGGGAUUAGAGAAUAUCCUCAUAUCUACACUAUCUAAUUAUACCAUCUUUAAAUAUUCUCAUAUCUACACUAUUCAAUUAUACCAUAAUUAUCACUCCCCCUCAAGUUGGAACAUGUAAGUCAUAUGCUCCUAGUAUGCCACAAAUAUAGUUAAUUCUAGAUCCUCAAAGUGAUUUUAUGAAAAUAUCCGCCAGUUAAUCCUUUGAGUUGACAAAACUCGUGGCGAUGUAUCAGACUCUAUUUUUUCUCGAAUGAAGUGUCAAUCUAUCUCAACAUGCUUCGUUCUUUCAUGAAACACGACAUUAGGAGUGAUAUGUAGUGCAACUUGGUUAUCACUAAUCAAUGUCAUCGGUUUAACUCCUCCCAUUUUCAAUUCUUGGAGAAGUUGUCUCAACCACAUAAGCUCAAUACUCUUUCUGCGCUUAAUCUAGCUACAACAACUUUCUUUUUUACUUUUCCAAGAUAUUAGAUUGCCUCCAAUUAGAACAUAAUAACCUGAAGUGGACUACUUGUCAAAAGGAGAUCCCACCCAAUCUGCAUUAAAAUAUCCAAUUAUGUUGGUGUGUCCCUUGUCUUCGUACAAUAAACCGUGUCCCGGAGAGCUUUUGAUAUAUCACAGGAUGCGAAUCACUACAUUCCAGUGACUCACAACUAUCACAAGGUGAUUGCAAAAACUAGUUCACUACACUUAACAACAAAUGAGAUGUUUAGUCACAUGAUCAUGAGAUAGUUGAGUUUGCCAACAAGUCUCCGAUAUCUAUUAUGAUCUUUUAAUGGCUCCCUUGUUCUGGAAUAAGCUUAGUAUUUGGAUCCAUGAGACUGCCCAGUUGUUUGCAAUCCAACAUACCAAUGUCUUCGAAAUGUCUAAGGCAUAUUUUUGUGUAAUAGCAAUUCCAUGGCCAUAUUGUGCCACUUCAAUUCCCAGAAGGUAUUUCAGCUUGCCUAAAUCCUUAGUCUAAAAGUGACUUGAGAGGUGUUGUUUGAAUUUAGCAAUACCUUAUGAUCAUCUUAUGUGAUAACAAUAUUAUCAACAUAAACAAUUAAAAGAUAUGUUUGCCAUGAGCUGAAUGCCUAUAGAAAACAAAGUGAUCAACUUUUGUUCGGAUCAUUCCAAACUGUUGGUCAACGGCUCAAAAACGACCGGACCAUGCUCUAGGAGGCAACUUGAGACCAUAGAGAUCGACAAAGUUUACAAACUGGUCUAGACUUCCCUUGAGCAUCAAACUUGGGUGGUUGCUCAAUAUAUACUGCUUUAACAAGUUCUCCACGCAGGAAUGCAUUUUUGAUGUACAACUGAAGAGGGGCCAAUGAUUCAUUAUUGCCAUAGAGAUGAGAAGAUAGACUUAAGCCAUCUUAGCAACUGGUGAGAAAGUAUCUCCAUAAUCGAUGCUAUAAUUUUGAGUGUAUCCCUUAGCAACCACUGUCGCUUUGAGACGAUCAAUAGCUUUAUCCAAACCUACCUUAACUGUGAAUACCUAAUGACAACCUAUUGUGGUUUUGCCUUCAAUCAAGUAAAAGAACAAGCUCCCACGUACCAUUAUCAUGCAAAAUAGUCAUCUCUUCAAUCAUAGCCCGACUCUAACUUGGAUGAACCAUUGCUUUUGCCACAGACGUCUUGGGAACUUUGACGGUUGAUAAGCUAGUGAUGAAGGCAUGAUAUGAAGGUAGCAGAUGAUGAUAACUUGAAUAAACAUUAACAUGAGUUUGAUUGAUAGUAGUUCUAGUACCUUUGCGAAGAGCAAUGGGAAGAUCAUUUGAUAAGUGCUCGACCAAAGCAGAAAACAUUGUUGGACUAGGUAAUAAGUCACUGGGAUUGCUUUGUGUAAUUGGAAUAGAGCUAGAAAUACUAACUGAAUUAGCAAGCUGAAAAAAAGGCUGAGGUCGUCAGGAUAGACCUUAAGAGUUAGAGGUGGAGCUGGGGUUGGAACAAGGACUGAUAUGGCCUUUUGAUUUUUCAUAUUAGGAGAAAAAUGUAGAGAAGUCUCGAAUAAUGUUUAACAUCCGUAGAGAUAAGUACUUGUUGGUAGAGAUUCAAAACCUUUUUGUAGAUGGGAAUACUCGAGAAAGACACAUUUAAAAGCCUUGUGCUAAAGUUUUAUUUUUUUGUGGGUAAGGUUAUGAAAAAAACAGGUGCAACCAACCGCAGGUGGAAGAAGGGGAAACAAAUUUUGGUCCAAAUAUAGGACUGAGUGAGGACUUUGAAACCGCAAAAUAGAUGAAGGCAUAGGAUUGGAAAAAUACCAAGCAGUAAUAACAUCAUCCAAGAAAUGUAAAGAGACAUGAUUGUGAAUGAGCAAUGUUGACAUUGUUUCUAUUAGAUGUCUAUUCUUUUGCUUAGCAACUCCAUUUUGUUGAGUAGCAUGUGCACACUAAGACAAGUGCAAUAUGCCUUUGGAUGACAUGAAAGAAUAGAGAGAGAAGCAGUGAAGUAUUUUUCGGGAAUUAUCACUGCUUAACUUCUUAAUGGAAAUACCAAAAUUAUAUGUACAAAUGUAAUUAAUACGAGGACCGGUGAGGGACUUGGUGAAGAUAUCUGCAAGUUGAUCAUUUGAUAAAGUGACAAUCAAUCUCAAUGUGCUUAGUCCUCUCAUGAAACACUGGAUUUGAUGCAAUAUGAAGGACUGCUUAAUUAUCACACCCAAGUUCCAUAUGACCGGUUUCUCCAAACUUCAGUCCUCCAAGCAACUGUUUGAUCCAGACUAGCUCACAAGUUGCUACAACCAUUGCUUGAUAUUCUGCUUCUGCACUAGAUCGAGCAACCAUACUUUGUUUCUUACUCUUCUAUGACACCAAAUUACCUCCUAUUAAAACACAAUAUCCGGAUGUGGAACGUUUAUCACAGGGUGAUCCUGCCCAAUCAACGUCUGUAUAUCCGGUGAUAUGCUCAUGGCCUUGAUCCUCGAAGAAGUAAUAAACUGACUUACGAUACUCACCGGAAAAGAGAUGUCCGGUCUACUCACCGUGAGAUAAUUCAACUUUCCAACCAACCGUCUAUACUUCUCAGGAUUACUGAGUUGCUCCCCCUGUCCUGGGAGGUGUUUAACAUUCGGAUCCAUAGGAGUGUCAAUAGGUUUACAUCCCAUCAUUCCUGUCUCCUCAAGAAUGUCUAAAGCAUACUUGCGUUGAGAAAUAACAAUACCUGAUCUAGACUGAGCAAACCUCAAUACCUAGGAUAUACUUCAGUCUGCCGAGGUCUUUAGUUUGGAAAUGCUGAAAGAGAUACUGCUUCAAAUUAGCGAUACCAACUUGAUCAUUGUCGGUGAUAACGAUAUCAUCAACGUAAACAACCAAAUAAAUACACAAAUUUGGUGCUGAAUGCCGAUAGAACACAGAGUGAUCAGCUCCACUACGAGUCAUGCCAAACUCCUGAAUUACUGUACUGAACUUUCCAAACCAAGCUCGAGGAGACUGUUUCAGACCAUAGAGUGACCGACGCAAUUGACAUACGAGGCUUCUAGACUCCCCCUGAGCAACAAAACCAGGUGGUUGCUUCAUAUAGACUUCUUCCUCAAGAUCACCAUACAGAAAAGCAUUUUUAAUGUCCGACUGAUGAAGAGGCCAAUGACGAACGACAGCCAUAGAUAGAAAAAGACGGACUGAUGUUAUUUUGUCCACAGGAGCGAAAGUGUCACUAUAAUCUAGCCCAAAUAUAUGAGUAUACCCUUUGGCAACAAGGCGAGCCUUAAGCCGAUCGACUUGACCAUCUGGACCAAUUUUGACCGUAUAAACCCAACGACAACCAACAGUAGACUUACCUGAAGGAAGGGAGACAAGCUCCCAAGUACCACUCGAAUGUAAAGCAGUCAUCUCAUCAAUCAUAGCCUGCCUCCAUCCAGAAUGAGAAAGUGCUUCUCCUGUAGUCUUAGGGAUGGAAAUGGAGGACAAAGAUGAUACAAAGGCAUAAUGGGAUGAAGAUAAACGAUGAUAACUCAAGAAAGUGUAAUGUGGAUUAGUAUUUCGAGUAGAUCGUAUACCUUUUUGAAGUGGAAUCGAUUGGCUAGCAUGAGGCAAGGCCGCAGUCGGAGCAGGGUCCAACGCAUGACAUGAAUCAUUUGAGACUAUUGCUGGACAUGGACGUCGAUGAUAAGUUAGGAGUGGUGGCACUGCAACUGGAGAUGGGGAAGUAACCGUAGGUCUCUCAAAAGUCGGUACAGGCAAGACCUGAGGUAUGGGUAAGACCUUAGAGACAUCAGGACGAUCAGAAGAUGUGUAGUAAGGUUGAGAUUCAAAGAAUGUUACAUCGGCAGACAUAAGAUAUCGGCGGAGAUCAUGUGAAUAGCAACGAUACCCUUUUUGAACUCGAGAGUAACCAAGAAAGACACAUUUAAGAGCACGAGGGGUUAAUUUAUCUUUUCCUGGGGCUAAGUUAUGAACAAAGCAUGUGCUCCCAAAUACACGAGGAGGGAUAAAAUAGAGAUGUGAUUGAGGAUACAGUAUGGAAUGUGGAACCUGAUUCUGAAUAGGAGAUGAGGGCAUUCUAUUAAUUAAAUAACAAGAUGAAAGGACUGCAUCACCCCAAAAACGCAGCGAAACAUAGGAUUCAAUGAGGAGAGUGCGAGCAGUCUCAAUGAGAUGCCUAUUCUUUCUUUCCNNNNNNNNNNNNNNNNNNNAAUAGAAGAUGUGGGCAUUCUAUUAAUUAAAUAACAAGAUGAAAGGACUGCAUCUCCCCAAAAACGCAGCGGAACAUGAGUUUUAAUGAGGAGAGUGCGAGCAGCCUCAAUGAGAUGCCUAUUCUUUCUUUUUGCUACACCAUUUUGUUGAGGAGUGUAUGGACAAGAUGUUUGGUGAAUAAUUCCUUGGUGAGACAUAAACUCUUGAAACUGGGUUGAUAAGUAUUCUAAGGCUUUAUCACUACGAAAAGUACGAAUAGAAACACCAAACUAAGGCUGGGCACCGGAACGGGUUGUACCGGUACCAUUCCGGUCCGUUCCGGUACCAUUCCGGUUCGUUCCGGUCCGGUAGUAUUCGGGACGGGAUGGGAUACAUUGAACCGGUACACGGAACGGAACGGUACCAUGAUUUGGUACCGGUAUACCGGUACCGGUUCAUCCCGGUUCAUUCCGGUUCCGUUCCGGUCCGGUCCAGUACCGGUUCGAUCCCGGUAAAUCAUUUCUAAUUAAAAUAAAAAAUAAUAUUUUUGUCAUUAUUUACUUUUAUUAGCAUUUCUUUUUUGUUUAUUUAAUUUUUUUAAAAUUACAAACUUAAGUUAUUUAACUUACAAGUUAUAAGUAUAACUUAAUAACUUAUAAACUUCAAAAGAUUCAAAUCUUUAAAACUUAUAACAUAACUACAUAAGCUCAAAAACUAAAAAAAAAACUUUAUUAAACUUAACUUACAAACUUAUAUACGUAAAAAUUAAAAAAAAUAUCUUUAAAAUAAACUUAAGUAAAAUUAUUAUAAAUUUUAAAACUUAAAUACUAUAAACUAAUAUAACUUAGAAAAAAAAAAAAAACAUUCGUAUUUUCGUAAUUCAAAAUAACUCAAAAAAAAAUAAUUAUUUUUUGAAAUAGCUAUAUGUGCCGUCCCGUUUAUCCCAUCCCGUUCCGUUCCGGUCCAUUCCGGUCCGUCCCGGUUCUAUCCCGGUAUAUAGUGGGACGGGACGGAACCGAGCCUCCAUCCCGGUAGUUCCGGUCCGGUUCAUCCCGGUACCGGUCAACAACCCGGUCAAACCGUCCCGUUCCGAUUCGGUACCGGUUCGUUCCGGUCCGGUGGUCCCAUUCCGGUCCAGUGCCCAGCCUUAGGCUCAUCAUUUAUCAAUAUAAGCAAAAAUUAAUAUAGUUGGGUAAGCUUCAUGACUUUGGAAACUACUAGUGUUCGUUUAAGUUACUCAGAACGAUCUUUCAUUAAGAAAGCCCAAGUACAUCUCAAAUAAUCAUCAAUGAAACUAACAAAAUAACGAAAUCCUAAGGUGGAACUGACUCUACUAGGACCCCAAAUAUCAGAAUGAACUAAUGAAAAAAUAGACUUUGAACGCCCUCAGUACCACGUGAAAAUGUGGCACGAGUGUGUUUCCAAAGUUGACACGACUCACAAUCUAAUUUGGAUAAACUAGAUAAACUAGGCACCAUCUGUUGCAGUUUGGAUAGACUCGGAUGUUCCAAACGUUUGUGAAUGAGGUCCGGAAGAUCUGUAACGGAGCAUGCUUUGAAGGAAGUUGAAGAGGUAAGAUAGUAAAGGCCUUGUGAUUCAUGUCCUAUGCUAAUUGUCUGUUCCGUACUGCAGUCCUGCAUGUGAAAAAAAUCAUCAAAAAAGGUUAUGCUACAAUGUAGGGCACGUGUCAAACAACUAACAGAUGCCAGAUUAAAAGGAGAACUAGGGACAUAAGUAUCAAUCCCGAAAGACAUGUUGUGAAAUUAGAAUAUGUAGACCAAAAAAAAAAAUAAUAAUAAUAAACUGUAAUGAGUAGCCAAAAAACUGGAUUUUUUUUUUCUGUCGGAAUCUGGAAAAUAAAUAGGUUGUUGCCGGAAAUGUAGAUCUGAUCGCCAAAUAUUGGUCGGAAUCAGGAAAAAAUUAUAUGGUCAGCCUCGGAAUGAAGAGGCGACCUAGAUAGGAAAAUUUUUUUGUCUAAAAACUGGCUGGAACAGGUCUCACGCGCUGGUGCGUGGAUCAGCCAACUCGCCGGAGAAAUUCUUCUGGCGGCGCGUGGCGUUUGCUCGCCGGGAAGUUCCUCAGCUAGUGGUGGUGUUAAUUUUUGAAAAACAGUGACGGAAAAUAUUAAUUACCCGGACAGCAACUAGGUUACCGGAAAAAACUGCACAGUGCGAUUUUUUAUUUUUUUUCUCUCACAAUUGCUCUGAUAUCAUGUGAGAAAUAUUGGAGAAGAAUAUUAUUGAAUUGUUGUUUUAAUUAUUACAUAGAGAACCCUAUUUAUAGACACUACAAUACAAUUCCUUAUCAAAUAGGAGAUUAUAAACUAUUCCUAUUCUGUGUAGGAUUGUGUGUACAUAUUCUAUUCUAACAGUUAUCUAAUACAUCAUAAGGAAAGUGAUUGGGACGUUACCCAUACAUCACAUACAAAAUCUAAAAUGGAAAUGACAUAAAGCAAUAAAGUAGUCUCGGUCCUCUGAACAUAAGGACUUAACAAUCUUCAAAGUUUAUGAAGGAUCACUAGCCCUAAGUAUGGAAGAUAGGAGCGUUGGACCCUACAUUAGUGAAAUAAUGUAGGCACAAGUAUGCAUUAGUACAUGAAAUGUACUAAGUAUGAGGAAAUAUGCAUGAACAUAGGCAUGAUAACAUAAGUAAUGUAAAACGAGUAGGCAUGAUCAUAAUGGGACAUUUAAAAGCUUUAAAGAAGAGAUGACAUGAAAAUCAUGAAAGCAUGGUCAAGUAUAUUAACACAAAGGACAUGAGAAAAGCUUUGAAGAAAACAUAGUCAUUUUGUGGGAUAUUAGCUUUAACCGACAAUAAGACCAUGAGAGCUAUAUCAUGGAAUUCGGUAUAUCCCUCAUACCGAAAGAAGGGGAAACUACUUGCCAAGGUAAAAUCCGUACAUAUCAUCAUUUGCUUAAGUGGAUCCACUAGCUAGGUCAUUUAAGUCAAUCGUACGGGGGCACUAGUUUGGGACUAGAGGUUGCUACUAGGGACUACCCUAUUUGAGCCUCCACCUCAAAGGCCUCUCGGUGCUAAGUCUAAAUCCCAAUGGAAUGGAUAAAAGUCAAAUAUCAUUUUAACAUAGGAAAGGCAAUGAUCAAUACCAAUCCACAACUUUUAAGAUCAAAACAUAGAAUAACUCCUUAAACAUAAUUCAACAUAAAUGAGAAAACCUUUCACCAAUGUGAAUUCAAUUGUGAGAAAUACCUUUCACAAUCAUGAUCAUCAUAGUAAGUGAGAAAUCCUUUCACAAUAACAUCAAUACUUUCCUUUCAAAGCAUCAUCAAUUCAUUUACAAUAACUUUAGGAAAACAUGCAUAUCUUCAUAAAUUCAUAAUUCAUAGUUCAUAGGUUCAUCAUGGGAUCAUGGUUGAAAGCCUAAAUUAGGCAUGGGUAAAUGCAAUUUCAACUAAAUAUCAUAGAUUAACAUCAAAUAAUACAUUAGAAGACUUAACUAAUCAUUAUUGAAUGAAACUAACAUUCAUUGAAUUGAACCCUAAUUUGAUCAAUUGGAAAUUUAAUGGAGAAGUUGAAAUCCUUAGGGACCCAAUGGAGGAAAGGACUCCAUGGGUGAAUACACACAUACCUUGAUGUUAGAAGCCCAAAAAGAAUGAAGGAUUGGAGACUUGGAUGAACCCUAGAUCUUCACCUUCUUCCUUAGUCUUGAGAGGAUUUGGGGAGUGAAUUUGGUUGUGUUUUAGGAAUUUAAGAGAUUGGGGUUGAAAUGGAUGUCCAAAAAUAAAUGAGACUCAAGAAAAUGGAGAAUUUGGAGACUUGAAUGGAACCCUAACUCUUCUUCUUCCUCUUUAGACUUGAGAGAAUUGGGAUGAUGAAUUUGGUCAAGCUUAGGGAAUUUAGGAGAAUGAGUUGAAAUGGGUAAAUUUGGGGAUUAAAACGUUUAUAUAGGGCUUAGGGUAGUAGGUAAAACGACAUAGUUCUAGGUUAAAUCAUUUAGGAAAGUCCCAAAAGCCCUUUAAAAAUAACUGUCGAGCCUCACCUAUCGUCCAUAUGAAAAUUAUUUUGGAUCAACUUUUGACGGAACCCAUGUACAGCUCGUAGGUCUUUCUACGAUCCGUAUAUGCCAACCAUAUAAACCAACUUUACCCCUUAAAAUUUCACGAAGUCUGGGACUCACCUACGACUCAUACAAUGGUUGACAGACUGUCCUGGUGAACCGUAUAAAGGUUACUGGGACUUGAUUUUAGAAAAUUACUUUACCUACUUCCUACGGUGGGCAUCUACGGCACGUAAAAGCUCCUACGGUCCGUAGAUGGGACCCAUAAACCAGACUUCAGUUCAGAAAUUUAUUUUCCUCCUUUUUCCAAGUUCCGAUGUGUUACACUGAUCAAACAUGAUUCAAGGAAACUAUCGAGAGGGGUCAAAUGAUAAUUUUCCAAAAAAAUUACAAAAAUGAACUUCAUGGUCAUUACAAAUAGUCAAAAAGUUACUUUCUUUGAUCUCGAUCCUCUUGCUUCUAGACCCAAUUUUAUGAUAAAAGGAAAUAUUGUAUGUAUGUCUCUGUGGUUAUAUGCCUACUUUCUACGUGAUGUAAACUGACCUUCUACAAAGAGAAGCUUACAGUUAACACUUCUAUAGAUGGCACCUGACACUUGUAUUUGAUUUACUAAUUCGAUGAAUCAUAUUGUUUAUAUUUCUAUAACUAUAGAAUCUUUGGGUUGUCUUUCAAGGGGUUGAGUUAACCAAAUUGGUUGGUCAUUUUCAUUUCCCUACACUAAGACCCUUCUCCCAGUUAGAUGGUUUCCUAGAAAAAGAAUAUUAAUUUCUUUGGUGUAACAUACGUGGCAAAGAGGGGACCUAGAUGAUAUAUUUUUGUAUCCUGGGUAGAUCUCCAAAAGGAAUUUUCUUGUACUGAUAUGUUAUUGCGCUUGCGGCUUGGACCUUUUAAGAGCAGCUUGUCACUGACUCAUGCUUGUGUGUUUAUAUCGUGUAGUGAGAUCUGACAUUUAUGUGAUUUUUAUACUAUACCAGGAUAGGUUCUUUGCAUAUGGUGUAAUGCUUCAAAUUGAGGGAAAUAAUUUGGAGAACUUCACCAAAUUUACAAAACUGGCAAUUCCAUAUGGCUAUGAUGAAAUUAAUUUUAAGCUUGUUAUGCUUUUUCUAUCUAAAAUAUAGGUUUCUAGAUUUUAUUCAGACCCAUAACUGAUACUUUUUCUCUAUUAUAUUACAGUUUGCAGAUGUCAUAACCCCGGAGUAGCUGGACACGGGUGUUUUUGUGUGUACCUCAUGCUUGAUGCAAAGGUUCAGAUUUGUUUGCUUGAUACAUCAAAUAUAUUAUUUCUGUAUAGUUACUCUGAUAUAUGUACAACUUCUACAAGGAAAGUUUGUUGCUGAGGCCAUGUGCGUAAUUGCUGCAAAUACAAAUGUUCCCGUGAGUGUCAAAUGCAGAAUUGGACUUGAUGAUCAUGACUCGUACAAUGAACUAUGUAAGCUCUUCAAACUUUCCGUUCCUCACAGGAAAUGAGAAUCAAAAUUCAAUUCUUCAAUGAUCAAUCUUUUGAUUUGUACUUGUUCCUUUCUCUCGUCUUGUGGAUUACAACUCCAUUUUUUCGUCCCGGCUUGAUUCAAGAAAAUCAUCAAAAUUGAACUCCGUUAGUUUCUUUAUAAUAUAUUUCCAAGCCGGUCUUUGCUAACCUUGUAACUGCUUGGACUUUCAAGUAGAUCUUAGAGAGCUGACAAUAAUUUGUCACGAUGAACUAGAAGCAAAUUCAUGACCACUUAACUCGUAGUAUUAGCCAUGUCCCAAUAAACCCAAAAAUUGGUGGGAACUUGAAAUAUUUAAAAACCAGAUUUUCUAAAUCAGAUCAAAUUUUAUGGUCAAAAUAAAUCAUGAAAAUCUACUCACAAUGACCAUAUGUAUUUUUCUGGAACUUUCUCUUCUCCUAUUAAAACUUUUUCCUUUUUUGAAUUUUUGACCUUUUUACACUUCUAUACAAACAAUCAUGGAUUCUAUCAACAUUUUGAAAACUUCGAUGGGCCAAAUGUGAAUUUUGCCUCACCUAUAAACAAAACCCUUUACCCUCAAACUCUCAUAAGUCACACCCCCUCCUCUCUCUCUCUCUCUCUUCCCUCAAAGGGAUUUCUCCCAAAAUUCCUCAUACACAGAAAUCUUUAUCUCGCGUAUGGCCUUUCACACAGCUUGCCCAAUCACCUGGUACUGCAUUCUUUUCAACAUUCUUUUAUUUUUGAGUUAUUUAUUUAUAAUUUUGUUUAUUUUCUCUCUUUUUUUUAUCACUCUUCUCACUACUCUCUGUUAUCUAGGCAAAUGGGUUUCUUUGUUUUAUGGUUUUAAGUGGUUUAGUGGGGUUUUUAUGACUCAUUGAGUGUUUUUGGAUGUGGGUUUUGGUGAUUUUUUGGUGUAGCGGGAGGAUCUGUUAGCUUUCUCUUUUUCUUUCUUUAUCGAUGGAUGUGAAAUUGGUUUCUUGCGUUUGUGUUUUGUUGUUUUCUUUUGAAUUUCUGACCCAAUUGAGUGUUUUGGUAUUUUUUGGUGCAGCCGAAAGAUCUGCUUCUGCCCACAUGGGUUUCCAAAGGGUAAAAAUGAGUUCUUCAGAGAUGUGACUAGACUUGAGGAGUUUAUCAAGGACCCAUGGGGUCUUAAGGCCAAACAACCUGCCACAAUUCAGGUUAAGGUGCCCAAGCUUAAUGUUGCUCCGCCCCCACAGGCGCCUGUAGGUGAUGGGGGUGGUGGAAGCGGCGGGGAUGGUGAGGAGGCAUCUACUAUUGCUUCAGCUCAGACUAAGCGCGCUGCGUUGCAGAAGAAAGCUGCUGCUGCAUCUAUGGCGGCUGAGGAUUUUGCUAGACGAUUUGAGUCUGGAGAUGUGGAGGUUAGGAACCACAGUUCUAAAAAACAUAGAUUUUCAUGAAUUUGAAUGUAGAAGUCAUUUGGAUUUAAAAUCUAAAUAAUGGUUAGGAUGUUUCUUUUGUCGUUCCUCACAUUCAACCGAAUAGAUGUUGUCACUCACCAGCAGAAUUUUUGUAUUUUAAAGGUGCACUGUUACUGAACUUGUAAUAACCCCUUUUCAUUGCUCAUUCUAGUGUUAUUCAUUUCUUUUUCUCUUGGGGUGUGGAGGCUGGGAGCUGGAAUCAUAAAUUGUUACAUGAUAGUAUUCAAUCUUUUUAUUUACAAAUAAAUAUCUUCCCUCAGGGCUCCAUGAAAGAUGUUGGUGGAGAAGAACAGGGUCUAUCGAAUGUCAAAGUGAUGUGUAGGCUAUGCUUUUCCGGUGAAAAUGAAGGAGGUGAAAGUGCAAGGAAAUUGAUGUCAUGCAAAUGUUGUGGGAAGAAGUAUCACCGAAGCUGCUUGAAAGCGUGGGGUCAACAUAGAGGUACUCUCAUAGGCCACAAUUUGUCAGUUUUUAGUGUUGUACUUUUGCCAAUAUGCCCUUUCCUACAGAUCUCUUCCAUUGGAGCUCAUGGACAUGUCCCUCAUGCCGGCUUUGUGAGGUAAAACUUUUGAUUCAUUUCAAAAAUAUAAUGAAACAUAGUUGGUUUUACUUUUUAAUAGCUGCCCAAAACAUGGCAAUUGUACGGUGAGUUGCUUUUUUUUUUUUUUUGUGAAUGAGAAGGUCAAAGCUAAUUCGACAAGACAUUAACUUUUAUUACCUAACAAAAUAAAAAUAACAAAUUAAUCGGAGAUAUCAACUGAUGCCUUAAUUUUCUUUGGUAGCCAUAUGUAAUGUUGGCAUUUUAGGUUCUAGCCUACUGCCUAGCCCUAUGAGAGGUCACCCAUGUCAGUUUUGACCCACAAAUCUUGGUUAAGGUACACUGGUUAAAAAAAGAGAUCCUGACUAAGGUUGAUGUCAAUACUAUGGAAAGAGGUUUUUUUCAACAUCUCUAUGUGUCCGCAUGGACAGUCAAUUGAAAAACAAGAUAUUGCUUUUAAGUCGAUGCUCUUAAAUGGAUCCCUCCAUAUGUGUAUGCCUGUACGGUGUAUGACAGUCAAUGGAGGAAAAUUUGACCCAUGGCCCCACUUAUAUGCAAACCCAUUAGUUACUAAUCAUACACUUGCCAUAUCAACUACCUAUUGUUCUGUAAGAAACAGGAAAGACUCUGUUCCACUAGAUCAAGUAGACCCAACUCAGAUAAGCACCAUUCAAAGCCAAAUAAGCUGCAAGCCAUAAUAGCUUAUAAUGAUAAGCCCACGUUGGAACCCCAAAACCUGGUUGUAACUUGUAAGAAGUUAUUUAAUGACACUAGAUGAUUUCUUGGGUUGUUAGACACAGUUACCUGGUAAGUGUGCUGGUGGAAGGUACGUAAGGGAAUUUUGUUGAAGUGCAUGCAAGCUGGUCAUGCGCCACGGUUAGUUAAAAAGAAGUCAUUUUGUGUGAAAUGAGUCACUGUAGUUCCAUUACUUCCAUGUUUCACUUUUUGUGGUGUAAAGUUUGUCAUGUUAAGUUUGCAAAUUUGUUGCAGAAUCAGAUUAGAUUUUGGUUUUGUUGUUCCCCCUCUGCUUCUCCAACUUUCUUUUUCGGGGUCUUUUGUGCUUUUUUCCUUGUGUUCUUUGGUGACUUCAAUUUUAGUUUUUUUUUUUUAAGGAAGACUUCUAUUUUAAUUUUUGUUUCAAAUUUAACCUUCAGAUUGUUUGGAAUGAGGUAGUUUAAUCCGUCUAACCAAUGGGUAACCAAACCAAAUCAAACAAGAUGCUAUAACCAACCAGCCUUUAUCCUUUAUCCCUUCCUUUGCUACUCCCUCCCUGGUACCACGAGACUUGCAUCUAGGUUUUACUAUGGAAGUUGCUUGGGGGAUAGAGAAAUAGCCUUGUAGGUUGGGAUAAUGGUAGGAUUCGACAAGUACUUCAAAAACUGAAAAUUGCAAAAAGAGCAAUAAGCAGCGAACGAUUCAUCAAACAUAUGAAAUAACCUAAAUAUAUGAUUGGUCCAAAGGGCGGGUCACAGAAGAAUUUCUCGGUUAUCAAAAAAAAAAUUAAAAAUUAAAAAUAAAAUAUAUAUAUAUAUAUAUGAAUUUAGUACUUAUAAGAUCAAAUAGCAAUUAACAUUAUUAUUUUCAGUACCUGUUAUACAAUAAUGACUGUAUAUAGACUCAAUACCUAAACUGAAAUAGAAUGACUAUAAAUUUUAACAAGGUCACAGAAUAAUGAUGGUCAAUAGCAGCAUUGAUUUAGGAUUCUCAAUAAAUUGACUACAACAAGAAUUAAUCAACUAUAAGAACAAUUAUUUUGCAGCAUUCAGUUUAAUAUUAAAUUGCUGUAGUAACUAUACAUAAAGUUGAAAAAGAAGCUCAAAAUCAGCAGCAGUUGAAGAUGGGAACUUGCAUACAAGGAAAGUGUUAUCUUUGAAGAAGAAAAAGAACAAGAAAUUUUAAGGAUAUACAGAAUCCUUGCCUUACUACAUAGACAAGUCAAUCCGGUUGAUUAUUUCAAUGUUUGGAGGUGGGGUCUGGAAACAAUGGAAUGUUCUUUGAUCCCAAUGUUUGGAGGUGGGGUUUGGAAAUAAUGGGAUGUUCUCUGUGAAGUCCUUUUAUGAGAAAUUAUUGGUUAGGGAGGAGAUGACCUUUUCCAUAUAGCAAUAUGGAUCUCAAGGGUGCCGAGGAAGGUGCCCGUUGUUUGCGUCAGUUGGUGUUACAUGUGUAAGGAAGCGGGUGAGGAAGUGUCCCUAUCGUGUAGGAUUAUAAAUGAAACUAUGUGCUGCUCUUUUUCUUUUCAAAAAAAUUCUUUUGCAUAAAGCAACUCUUCUGCUUGAUAAUUGAACAUGCAUUCUGGAUCAUUCUCAUGUGAUUAUUGUAUUUUUGGCUAUUUGAUGUCUGUUAUUGUUCAACUCAUGUUCUUAUGCUCGCUAUAUUGCUCAUUAUAUACUGACUGUAUGUAUGCUCCGUGUUUGGUGUAGGGCUGUCAAAGAACUGGAGAUCCAAACAAGUUCAUGUUUUGCAAAAGGUGUGAUGCAGCUUAUCACUGUUACUGUAUGCAGCCUCCACACAAGGUGGAUUCUCGUGUCUUACUAUUUUAGUUUUGUAUAAUGAUAAAAGUAGAUUAUAUUAAGUUGUUUUUGGGAUGUGCAGAACGUUAGCAGUGGGCCUUAUUUAUGCCCCAAACACACAAAGUGUCACAGCUGCUGUUCUAAUGUUCCAGGAAACGGACUGAGCAAGAGGUAUGUAGUAUGGGGCCAUGAGCAGCUAGUGGGACAUUCUCUUGGAUUCAAGUUUUGCUAUAAAUGUUAAUUGAACACUCUAAUUAACUUCAUUUUAGUUAAAAUGCUUAUUCAUGUACUUUUCUAUGUUGUUUUUUCUGUAUCUUUACAGAGGAGCAUCAUGUAGGAGUUCCAUUUGGUUCAAGUUAUAUAUUCUAAUGUAUGGAAAUCAUUUAAGGCAUUGCAUAUCCUAUGUAAAUUAUUAAAGGCUUUGCAUAACCUAUGAAAAUCAUUUAUGGCAUUGCAUAUUCUAUGGUCUCUGAACCAUUGAUAUCUUGAUCUAUGACAGGUGGUUUUUAGGAUACACUUGUUGUGAUGCCUGUGGAAGAUUAUUUGAGAAGGGAAACUACUGUCCUGUUUGUUUGAAGGUAGAUAUUAUGGCGGUUUUUGUUAUCUGAGCUUCUCUUUGUUUAAUUUUACAAUGAGGUUCUUUGUACUAUGGUGAUUUACUAAUGCGGAGUUGCUAAUUUGUCUGCUAGUAUUACGUGAUGCCUUUUGCUUUCAUUGCCUUUCCAAAGCAACUGAGUGUUUUUCUUCUCAUAUGUCUAUGGGGAAUGGAAUUAAUUGUUUUUUGUAAUGCAGGUCUAUAGAGAUUCUGAAUCAACGCCUAUGGUCUGCUGUGACAUUUGCCAGCGCUGGGUGCACUGCCAAUGUGAUGGCAUCAGGUUUAUCUUAGAUAUUGCUUUUAAGAAAAUUAAUUAAUUGGUUUUGCUUUGGUUCCUUUCUCAUAAAGUGCAAUUUUAUUUCUUAUCACGGGAGCAAAUAUGGAUGUGCAUUAGGUUAGACUUUUCUGUUCUGGAAUUAAAUAUCACAAAUUUAUUAUUGACAGCAUCCUAUGUCUUUUGUGGUGUUCUUGCAGCAGAUUUUUCUAUGUUAAAAUGUAAAAAGUGUUUCCCAGAAUAGUCUCCUCAUUCCCCACUGACUAUUAUUGUUUCAUUGAAUAACUGAAUGGCAUUUUGGGGACUGCAGUUUAUGCUGCAUUCUGCCUUGUUAAGAGUCGAGUCAGUUGACAGGGCGCUAGUUCUAAUUUCCAGAAAGCUUCUCUUCUUCCCAUCACUAUAUAAAUAUCCUGACAUCAUUGUAGUUUGCCAAUUUGUUCUCAUGUCAUUCAUGCGAUAUAAAGCUGUUAAAUUAUGUAACCUUGAUUGUACUUUCAGUGAAGCUUUGAAAGAGGGACUCCAUUGGAAGUUCUAAUUUGAAAAUGGGUAUUUGCUUUGCAGCGAUGAAAAAUAUUUGCAGUUUCAAGUGGAUGGAAAUUUGCCAUAUGCAUGUCCAACAUGCCGCGGAAAUGGUUAUCAGGUGUGUUUAUUGGCUGUGAUUUAUUUCACAAGAAAAGUUAAACUAGAACUCUAUCCUAAUAGUUAUAUAUUAAUGUUCUCAGGGGAGAAAUCUUGAGGAUGCUGUUCAGGAGCUUUGGAGGAGGAGAGAUGUAGAUGAUAGGGAUUUAAUUGCAAGUUUGAGGGCAGAAGCUGGGUUGCCAGUUGAAGAUGAAAUAUUUUCUAUUUCAUCCUUUUCAGAUGAUGAAGAUGGUACUCCUGUAGUAAAAAAUGAACACAGUCGAUCUUUGAAGUUUUCUCUUAAAGGUUUAGUUGACAAAUCUCCCAAAAAGAGCAAGGAAUAUGGAAAGAAAUCUUCUUACAAGAAAUCUGGUAAAAAGAAGGGGUUAACUGGACACAAGGAAGGACAUCCGGAUGCUCCAUCAGGUGUAUAUAGUGUUGGUGAUGUCCAGAAUGAAGAAUUGCAGGCUUAUGGUGAACUGGAAAGCUUUUCUUCUCCUGUUGGUAGCUUUACAGAAGGUACAUGUUCAAUUAAUCAGGCAGGGGUCAUAAAGCACAAAUUCAUAGAUGAGGUUACUGGAAACAUGGGUAAGAGGACAGUCCAAAUGAAAGGUAUCAAGCCUCAGCUUUUGGAUGAGGAUGAUGUUGGAAUUCAAACAAGCAUGCCAAAGACCUCUAAGGGGUCAAAGCUUGUUAUACAUUUGGGCUCGCGGAAUAAAAACAUAGCAGGUUCCCUUAAGUCCGAUGCUUCAAGCUGUCAGAAAGAACAAGAAUUGACUACUUCAAAUGGUAAAUUUUUUUCUAUAUGUUGUCUUCAGGUACCUCUUUCUUUCCAUUUUCUUACUUGGAUGAAUCUUGUUUAUAAACACUAUGACAUGGCUUCUCCAUAGAAUUUGAUGACUGUAAAUAUGCUUUUCUACUAGCUUGUGUCACUUAUGUCACAAAAGCUAUGGUUUUCUAAAUUGUUUUCUCAUCCAGACGAAACAUUCUGCCAGUGAGAAAGAUGUAUAGUUUUCCUCUGUGCAUUUUUUAAUUCUUGGAGAUUUUCAUCUGUGGUUUGGUAAGGACUUUAUAUAUAAGUUUCCCUUGGGCUUUAAGUGGUAAGGACGCAUUGUGUGAUUUAUGGAUUAAGCACAUGUUGCGGGUUCAAACCCAACCGCUGACAAAAGCCUGAUAUUUAAGUGAAGAAGGGUAGAUGGGCGUGCUCAUUAUCCCUACAGUUUUGAACCUUAUGUCACUGGCCAUCAAGGAUAUCUUUGUUAUUAGAUGGCUAAGGAAUAUCAUAAAAUACCGUGAUUCUUGGGUUUCUUUUUGUUUGUAAAAGUCACAAGUAUCUCUAAUAUACUUGGUUAUAAAGAAAAAACAUAUAAGUUGGCUACGGAAUAUCAUAAAGUCCCGUUAUUCUUGGGUUGCUUUUUGUUAGUAGAAGUUAAAAGUAUCUCUAAUGUACGUUCUUGAAUGCAUUUUGUUGUAGAUAAAAAACUAGCAUGGAUGUAAACUUAUGCUGCAUGUUUCUUCUCCUUACCUUGGUGAAUUAAUUGCCUAUUUGGCACAUGAGGACUGUGUGCUUUGGUAAUCAUGUGAAAUAAUGUUUGUUCUUGUUUUGUUUUUUUUUGCUUCUUCAUGACUUAAGUGGAAAAUUCUUGUGAAAGUAAAGUAAAUGGGGAUUUUAAGUCACGUCCUCAAAGUUUGACAUAACAAUGUUAAUCAUUUAUUAAAAAAUGGUAAAAAUGUAAGCCUUUAAACUUUUUUCUUUUAAUGAUCUGGACAAAUCUUAAAGGAGUAGCACUUAUGUACAUCUUACUCACAGACUUCUUCCCUUUUCUCAGAACGCUGAAUUUGACGUCUUAAUGGAUGCACUCUGGCAUAAACCAGAGGGUUCUCUUUAUAGAACUCUUUAUAUAUAAAUAUAUAUAUGUAGUACAAUAAAGGUGACAUGACAUGUAUAUUUGGUUUUCUUUGGUCUGGGAAUGGAAGAUCUGUUCUGUACUUGAUAAAAUUCUCCAAUUCUUUUUCUGCUUUGGUGUUCCUUCUCUAUUUUAUAUGCUACAUUAGUUGAGAUUCUUUCCUCUGUGUGAAUACUUGCAGCUGAAGAGUUCGGAAAGCUGCUAAUGACCCACUAAAGAUUAAAAGUUAUAUAACCUAAAGUUAUUAAAGUUCAUGCUGCAUAUUAUUAUUGUUUUCUGAUGUUAACACUUCCACCCCCACCCAUACACACACCCUUAGAAAUUUUAGGAAAUUUGGUUUAAUAUGUAAACAGAUGUGCUCACUGUCGAAACAGGUAGGUGACUUCUGUUGUUUCCUAUUUGUUUUUCAAAUUCGAUUUCUGGAUUCGCUCGUCCAUCUGUUGUUCCCUAAAAUUCUUUCAAUUCAAUGUCUAAUUGCUUGGUCAAGGCAGCAUUAUCUCAUGAGAUCAAGUUAUUAGCCUCAAUACUCUAUGCUAGUUGUUAUAUGGUGUAGAUUCUCUACUUUUUGGUAUACCUCUUUUAUAUGGGAGAUUUACCCAACACUCAUAAAAUUAUUUACCUAAUAAAAAAAUAUCUUAGAUAUAAUUCCUUGUUAAUCAGGUAGUGAGGAUCUAGUUCAGCUGAGAGAGAAUGAGAACUCGGAAAGGAAUGACACUGCAGAUAAACUUGGUGGUGGAAAAGGUAAGAUGUGUUGUAAAUUGUUUACUUUCUAUGUUGGGGGUGGGCAAAGAAGAUAAUAUUGUAUUUGUUGCUUUUAGAAGCAUACUUUUAUUGUUUUAUUAAUAACUUUUCUUUUGGCUCUCAUUUCUGUGUCUGAAGGACAUAAGGUGAAUCAUAUGGACCAAAUAAAGGGUCAAAAUCAUUGGGGUAAAGAAAGCAACUUAAUGAAGAUCAAGAAAGUUAGCUCAGAAGGUACUAAUUUCCCUGCCAAAGUUAGUGGAAAAUUAGCCGAUGGAUCUGGACCUUAUCCUCCGCUCAAGACUUUUGGUAUAUUAGGAAAAAGAAGGAAUGACGGUAGUGUUAUUACAAGGGCUGGAGUUGAAGUUCCUGCUACAAGGGACAAUAAAUUGGCUUCUGUAAAAUAUGCCGAAGCUGGGCCCGCUUCUUGUGAUGACCUGAAUGACGAGAAAAAUAGCACACCUUCAGUAUCAAAUUCAGCGAGAAAGGAUCCAAAACCUCUCCUAAAGCUCAAGUUCAAGAAUCCUUGCCAUGAAAGUCAAAAUGCCUGGGCUUCUCCAGGAGAGGAGGAUAAAAGCAUGGUUAAGGGCCAGAGGUCUAAAAGAAAGAGAGCACCAGCCUUUGGAGAAAAAUCAUCAACCAUGGCUGAUGAUAAUUUAUCACAGCAGUAUGAAGACAAUACAAUGGAUGAGUUCUUGGAUGCUAACUGGAUACUGCAGAAGUUGGGAAAAGAUGCAAAAGGAAAGAGAGUGGAAGUUCAUCAUUCGUCUGAUAAAACCUGGU